CAAGUCGAACGAUGAACCACUUCGUGGGGAUUAGUGGCGAACGGGUGAGUAACACGUGGGCAAUCUGCCCUGCACUCUGGGACAAGCCCUGGAAACGGGGUCUAAUACCGGAUACAACCACUAGGGGCAUCGUCUUGGUGGUGGAAAGCUCCGGCGGUGCAGGAUGAGCCCGCGGCCUAUCAGCUUGUUGGUGAGGUAAUGGCUCACCAAGGCGACGACGGGUAGCCGGCCUGAGAGGGCGACCGGCCACACUGGGACUGAGACACGGCCCAGACUCCUACGGGAGGCAGCAGUGGGGAAUAUUGCACAAUGGGCGAAAGCCUGAUGCAGCGACGCCGCGUGAGGGAUGACGGCCUUCGGGUUGUAAACCUCUUUCAGCAGGGAAGAA
rnacentral:ncRNA from 1 species